UACGUAGGGGGCAAGCGUUGUCCGGAUUUACUGGGCGUAAAGAGCGUGUAGGCGGCCUUUUAAGUCCUGCGUGAAAUCCUGCGGCUCAACCGCAGACGGUCGUGGGAAACUGGAAGGCUAGAGUGCGGGAGAGGAGAGUGGAAUUCCCGGUGUAGCGGUGAAAUUCGUAGAUAUCGGGAGGAACACCAGUGGCGAAGGCGGCGACCUGGGCCAAUAUUGACGCUGAGGAGCGAAAAGCAUGGGUAGCAAACAGG
rnacentral:rRNA from 1 species